rnacentral:rRNA from 1 species
GAUGAACGCUAGCGAUAGGCCUAACACAUGCAAGUCGAGGGGCAUCACGGAGUAGCAAUACUUUGGUGGCGACCGGCGCACGGGCGAGUAACGCGUAUGCAAUCUACCUACAACAGGGGGAUAACCCGGAGAAAUCCGGACUAAUACCGCAUAACACAGGGGUCCCGCAUGGGAAUAUUUGUUAAAGAUUUGUCGGUUGUAGAUGAGCAUGCGUUCCAUUAGGUAGUUGGUGAGGUAACGGCCCACCAAGCCUGCGAUGGAUAGGGGAACUGAGAGGUUUGUCCCCCACACUGGAACUGAGACACGGACCAGACUCCUACGGGAGGCAGCAGUGAGGAAUAUUGGUCAAUGGGCGAGAGCCUGAACCAGCCAAAUCGCGUGAAGGAAGACUGCCUUAUGGGUUGUAAACUUCUUUUGUACAGGAAUAAAAAGAGGGACGUGUCCUUCAUUGCAUGUACUGUACGAAUAAGCAUCGGCUAACUCCGUGCCAGCAGCCGCAGUAA